UACCAAUAAGAGUAUGGAACUUUAAAGCAAAAAUCAUAUACAAAGAAAGGAGAUUACUUUUUCUUCUUUUAAUAUUGCCAAAGAGACUACCUUAGCUCUAUAAAACUGCCCCACAGCUGGACUGUACGUGUGUAAGGUGCACGUAGCAAGGAGUAAGCUUUUUUAAGGUAACCAUCUAUGUGGAAACAGGUGAAGAAACAAAAGGAUUAGUAUAAGAAAAAUGUUGAAAGUGGACUCAUAGUUCAAUAUGAGAGAGGUGCCAAAUGAGUGAAAGAACCAGUUACAGAGAAGAAACAGUAGAGCCUGGGCAAGUUGCCUAAAGGAGCACUUAGGUUGACCUUCAUAUUGGAAUUGAAAAUGUGAAUUAUUUUCUCUUCAUUUUUUUUCUUCUGGAUUCUAACAAUAAAGACAGUCUUUAAACUUG